GGAGAGGUGACUGAGCGGUCGAAGGUAACGGUCUUGAAAACCGUCGUACCUGAAAGGGUACCGAGGGUUCGAAUCCCUCCCUCUCCGCCA
rnacentral:tRNA from 2 species